ACAGAGGCGCGAAGCACAUCAGUACCGUUUUCCUUAUCCCCUUGCCAAGGGCGGAAACCGGGAAAGGGUCCUUCGCCGAAGGUGAUGCGCGGCACGCAUCCGCCUGGGUCCGCAGCCAAACAGGUGCGGGACUGUCACACUGUAAAUCAGUGUGUUGCGCUGUG
rnacentral:ncRNA from 1 species